rnacentral:rRNA from 1 species
UACGAAGGGUGCAAGCGUUAAUCGGAAUUACUGGGCGUAAAGCGUGCGCAGGCGGCUUUGCAAGACAGAUGUGAAAUCCCCGGGCUCAACCUGGGAACUGCAUUUGUGACUGCAUGGCUAGAGUACGGUAGAGGGGGAUGGAAUUCCGCGUGUAGCAGUGAAAUGCGUAGAUAUGCGGAGGAACACCGAUGGCGAAGGCAAUCCCCCUGGACCUGUACUGACGCUCAUGCACGAAAGCGUGGGGAGCAAACAGG